rnacentral:RNase_P_RNA from 1 species
GCAGAUGGCUGGAUGGCCGCCGCUGCGUUCGCGCAGGGGAGGAAAGUCCGGGCUCCAUGGAAACACGGUGCCGGUUAAUGGCCGGCGAGGGCGACCUCAGGGAAAGUGCCACAGAAAGCAAACCGCCAUAUACGUAUGGUAAGGAUGAAAGGGUGCGGUAAGAGCGCACCGCGUCCCUGGUAACAGGGAUGGCAGGGUAAACCCCACCGGGAGCAAGACCAAUAGGGAUGGUUGCCUUAGGGCAGGCGGGUUUCCGCGCCGCCGUCCGGGUCGGUUGCUUGAGCAUGUUGGCAACAGCAUGCCUAGAGGAAUGGCCAUCACCAGUUUACUGGUACAGAACCCGGCUUACAUGCCAUCUGCCACU